ensembl:snoRNA
UUAGUUUUGUAGCUCGUGAGUGUGCUGAUGGGCUAUUCUCGUGUGUUUGCGAGGUACCACCCUCAAACUUUGUUAUGAUGUUGGCUCAUUACCCAUCUGAUA